UACGUAGGGUGCGAGCGUUAAUCGGAAUUACUGGGCGUAAAGCGUGCGCAGGCGGCGCGUUAAGACAGAUGUGAAAUCCCCGGGCUUAACCUGGGAACUGCAUUUGUGACUGCACGGCUAGAGUGUGUCAGAGGGGGGUAGAAUUCCACGUGUAGCAGUGAAAUGCGUAGAUAUGUGGAGGAAUACCGAUGGCGAAGGCAGCCCCCUGGGAUAACACUGACGCUCAUGCACGAAAGCGUGGGGAGCAAACAGG
rnacentral:rRNA from 1 species